rnacentral:rRNA from 1 species
ACGGGUGAGUAACGCGUGGGAACGUACCCUUUACUACGGAAUAACGCAGGGAAACUUGUGCUAAUACCGUAUGUGCCCUUUUGGGGAAAGAUUUAUCGGUAAGGGAUCGGCCCGCGUUGGAUUAGCUAGUUGGUGGGGUAAAGGCCUACCAAGGCGACGAUCCAUAGCUGGUCUGAGAGGAUGAUCAGCCACAUUGGGACUGAGACACGGCCCAAACUCCUACGGGAGGCAGCAGUGGGGAAUAUUGGACAAUGGGCGCAAGCCUGAUCCAGCCAUGCCGCGUGAGUGAUGAAGGCCCUAGGGUUGUAAAGCUCUUUCACCGGAGAAGAUAAUGACGGUAUCCGGAGAAGAAGCCCCGGCUAACUUCGUGCCAGCAGCCGCGGUAAUACGAAGGGGGCUAGCGUUGUUCGGAAUUACUGGGCGUAAAGCGCACGUAGGCGGACAUUUAAGUCAGGGGUGAGAUCCCAGAGCUCAACUCUGGAACUGCCUUUGAUACUGGGUGUCUUGAGUAUGGAAGAGGUGAGUGGAAUUCCGAGUGUAGAGGUGAAAUUCGUAGA